rnacentral:rRNA from 1 species
AUGACCCUGGACUUGAGCGGCGACGUCCUCUCCAAAGGCGUGCUCGUCCUCCCGGAGCCUGCCGAACCUGCCGCUUUCCGGCGGAUGACAGAGCUGAGCCUCUCGAAUGUGCGUCUGCAGGUGCAGCCAGACAGGCUUGGCGAGUUCUUGUCAUCAUGCUUCCCGCAGCUGAGGAAGCUGCGCCUUCGCAAAGUUUGCAAUGUGGCCGCAGAGCCGAGACUGUGGCCACUGAUGCUCGACAUGGACAUGCUCGAGGAGCUAGAGGUCGACAGCAUCCACCAACUAACGAUGCUGCAGGUGGUGGCUGCCAAACUCCGGCUGCUGAUCGUGAGACACUGCUUCGAGAGUCUGGCGGUGCUCCGCGCCGACAUCGUGUUCAAGGUCUCCGCGCCGGGGCUGGAGGCGAUCAGCUGGACCGGCUGGUUCCCGAAGCAGCUGAACUUCCUACCCGACGCGCAAUGUGUCCGUCGACUGUCCGGCAUCAUCGUCAACUGGCCCAGCAUAUCGUGGGCUGACUACUGUUUGCCGGGUGUCAUGCAGUUGCUCGAGACAUGCUCUGGAGCUGACCGGCUAGAUCUUUGUGUCGACAUCUAUGAUGGAUGGGUUCCAUCCAUGGUAUCAAAACAGGAUUUCAUGGAACGCAUGCCACACCUUCCCAACAUCAGGGCACUCUCCCUGACGAUCGUCACGAUUCUCCGAAUGCUCCGCUCUCCAAUUGGUGAAAUUGUCUUCUGCUUCCUUAGGCGAUGCCCGAACCUAACUCUGCUUCACAUCGACCUAUCGACGCUGCACCAGUUUACAAGGCAGGAGCCGCAUUAUCUUGUGUUUCCGGAUGAUGAUGCUGAAACUAAAGCUGCAAAGCCAUGUCAAGACCGUGAAUAUGAUCCGCCUAAAGCACACAAAUAUCAAUUGCAACUAGGCUCUCUUCGAAAGAUAAGAAUCAGUGGCUUUGCCGGAACGGAUGCUGAGAUGGAGCCGAGCGGUCGGCGCUCGAGGGGAUAUCUAUAUCAUCAUUUGCACAGCUGA